rnacentral:lncRNA from 1 species
GAUGAGGGAAGUUACCUUUUCCAGGAGCUCAGUGCAACCUGUAGAUCUAUGCCAAAGUCAAAGAACUACCAUUCGGUGCCAUCUCUCUUAUACUCCUCCUGCUUAGAAUGAACAUGUGGUGACUGAAGAACUGCUGCAGUUCUCGUUGGUGAAGUUGAUACACAUCUGCUUGAAGCUGUUGAACUGCAGAGAAGAACAGGCUGGUUGUGUAAGGCAUUUGCUGACCUGCCUUUGAGAUGUGUCCCUCAGCUCUAAACAGAAAAACUCAGCUGCUGGUGGCAGGAAAUAAACUGCAGGGAAAUCCCACCUGGCUGAGGAUCCCUCAGGCUGCUCUACAGCCCUCUUCUCUCAAGGAUCUCCAUGCUUUCUGCAAAUACCAUGAUUGUUCCUCCCACUGAUAUUUAUUUUGGUUUCCAGACCACCUGCGAGCCCCCAGAGCAGUGUGUGAGGGUAAAUUCACAGCAGCCACAGAUCAGUAUCACCCUCUGUUUUAUGAAUGGAGAAAAAAAAAAUGCAGGGAGUUCAUCUGAAGCAUUGACAAGGCAGAGUGAAACAGAGAACUCAGAUGUCCAGGCACUUUGCCAUCUGCUUUAAACAAAUGAGAGACAGGCAAAGAAAAGGGGCUUGGACAUGAGCUGUCACUGAAGGAUUUAAGUCAUACCUGUGCUCCCCGCAAUUUACAGCAGCAGUUCAAUAGGAGCCUGCAACAGAAGGAUCAAGCGCUGUCAAGUCAGAGACAGAAGCCUCAGUGACGACAGCCCCAAGCAAUGCGUCGUGCCAGCCUUGUGAGUCAUGCUGUCUGCGCAGGUGUUGGAGGAGUCAGUCUGGGGAAAAAGAGGGAAGAAAAUCCCCUGAAAGCUCCAGCAUGUGGCAUCAAGUUGACCCCACACAGACUGUUGAGAAGAUUGGGAGUUUUUAAUCCACAGCACAGGCUUUGGACGCUUGAGCUCAUGGAGCAACAUAUAGCACUAAUGAGUUGCUCUGCCCUAGGUGGACCAGCUGUACAGAGGACUAAGCCAACUUUUCCACCAGGAUUUAACUGUGUCUGCCAACUGCAGAGGAGUAUUAACAUUCAGAAAACAGGUCUCACCAUGGAUCUGGCAGAGGUGGUGCCCUAA